ensembl:snRNA U6 U6 spliceosomal RNA
GUGCUCCAUUUGGCACAUACACAUUAAAGCUGGAAUGUUACAGAGAAGAUUGGUCCUUGUGCAAGAAUGAUCCCCAAAUUCAUGAAGUGUUCUAUAUUUUU